rnacentral:rRNA from 1 species
UGAGCAAUCUGCCCUUCUCAUCGGAAUAGGCGUUGGAAACGACGUCUAAUGCCGAAUACGACCUCCUUUCGCAUGAUCGGAGGUGGAAAGCUCCGGCGGAGAAGGAUGAGCUCGCGGCCUAUCAGCUAGUUGGUGUGGGUAAUGGCCCACAAGGCGACGACGGGUAGCCGGCCUGAGAGGGUGACCGGCCACACGUGGGACUGAGACACGGCCCAGACUCCGUACGGGAGCAG